rnacentral:rRNA from 1 species
UACGGGGGGGGUAAGCGUUGUUCGGAAUUACUGGGCGUACAGGGCUCGUAGGCGGCCAACUAAGUCAUACGUGAAAUCCCUCAGCUUAACUGGGGAACUGCGUGUGAUACUGGAUGGCUUGGAUUUGGGAGAGGGAUGCGGAAUUCCAGGUGUAGCGGUGAAAUGCGUAGAUAUCUGGAGGAACACCGGUGGCGAAGGCGGCGUCCUGGACCAACACUGACACUGAGGAGCGAAAGCCAGGGGAGCAAACGGG